UACGAAGGGAGCUAGCGUUGUUCGGAAUCACUGGGCGUAAAGCGCACGUAGGCGGAUUGCUAAGUCAGGGGUGAAAUCCUGGAGCUCAACUCCAGAACUGCCUUUGAUACUGGUGAUCUUGAGUCCGGGAGAGGUGAGUGGAACUGCGAGUGUAGAGGUGAAAUUCGUAGAUAUUCGCAAGAACACCAGUGGCGAAGGCGGACUCACUGGCCCGGUACUGACGCUGAGGUGCGGAAAGCGUGGGGAGCAAACAGGG
rnacentral:rRNA from 1 species